GACGAAGGGGGCUAGCGUUGUUCGGAAUUACUGGGCGUAAAGCGAGUGUAGGUGGUUGUCCAAGUUGGAUGUGAAAGCCUUGAGCUCAACUCAAGAAAUGCAUUCAGGACUGGGCGGCUAGAGGACCGGAGAGGAUAGUGGAAUUCCCAGUGUAGUGGUGAAAUACGUAGAGAUUGGGAAGAACACCAGUGGCGAAGGCGGCUAUCUGGACGGUUUCUGACACUAAGACUCGAAAGCGUGGGGAGCAGACAGG
rnacentral:rRNA from 1 species